GUUUGAAUCUACUGAAAAAGUGAAUAGGAGCUAUAGCAGAUCCUUGAAAAACUAUGAUUCAGUGUGGUGUGAAGCAUAAAAUUAAUGUAGAACUAUCAUACCCAUAAAAUUCUUCGUGGAGAAAUAGCAAGCAGCUUUUUCACUGUCCUUACUUCACCAGCAGGAUAUGAAACAUGGAAACACUUCCCUUAAAAACUGAACAAAGGACCACCGGAUGCCCAAAUGACAUUGCCAACCAAGAUUCUCUUGAGAGAAUUUCUCAGACAGGAAUGAUCUCCAAGGAAGUGGACAAGGAAGUCUCAACCACCUUGUUCUCUGCAGUUUUCAGUUCAGUUAAGCUCUGGGAAUUGCAGGUACAAGCUUAAAAGAACACCCACUUUAAAGACUAAGGUAUGAAGUAGGAAAGGAUUUUCUUACUCUGGGAUCUGCUCUGAGAAACUGAGGAUGUGUUCCUAAGAGAAGGAAUUGUUCCUAAAAGAAAAGAACUGUCUCUCACUUCCCUGGCUGCCCAGGGAAGUGGUGGAGUCACCAUCCCUGAAGUCUUUAAAAGACGUUCAGAUGUAGAGCUUAGGGAUAUGGUUUAGUGGGGACUGCUAGCGUUAGGUCAGAGGUUGGACUCGAUGAUCUUGAGGUCUCUUCCAACCUAGAAAUUCUGUGAUUCUGUGAAAUCAGCAGGAUCACAGACAGUAAAUGUGAAACAGAGACUAAAGAUGAUCUAUACACAGAAAAGAUAAGAUUGAAGAGGAAGUUCAAAUGAAUUUCAGGUUGUGAUUCCAACUAUUCUGGCAAAAACUCAUUAAGCGUCAGCGAAUGACAGGGGAAUGAGAGGCAAUGAUGAGCUAGUAAAGGCAAGAUAUAUUUUCAUUCUCUGUGUAAACAGAAUUGCAAUUGUCAUUUCAGUGCUUAUGUAUCAAUGACAACUGGUCUAUUAGGAGAGCAUUUUAUAUCUGUAUACUGUAACUUUGUGGGCAUGCAGGCGCUGGGUAACAUACAGCAAGUAUCAAAUGGAUAAAGAUUGUAUUUGGCCGGGUAAGAUACAGAAGCCUGGCAGAGGGGCUCUUGGUGCCACAACACAGCAAGCUCUGUGCAUCUUGUUGGAUUAAAGACUAGAUUUGUGUCUUAGCCAAUAUAAUGUCAUGUUGAGUUAUGUAAAUCCCAUCACAGAAAUGCAAACACAAUGCAGCAGCAGCAUUCUUUGGCAUGGGCUGUUCAGCUGUUUUCCUCAAACUGAUUUGAUGUCUUGCUACAGAUUGUUUUUCCCUUGCAGCGCAACCAUACUGUUAGUUAAUUCCUUUUUUUUUUAUUAUUAGCAUUAUUAUUUUUUUCUGACUUAUUGUGAUGUAAACCCCACAGUUUAAUAAAUGGAUUUUUUUUUUUCUUAAAUGCA
rnacentral:lncRNA from 1 species